UGCAAGUUUCAGGGAAGGUGAAAAUCCUUACUGGCGGUGGCGCAUAUUCGAUGAUGUCGAUUCCCUGCGAAGCCCGCGACCCGUCGAAGGACGGUUGAUCCCGGUCGAAGUCCGGAGCCAACGGUUACAGUCCGGAUGAAAGAAACGAGGC
rnacentral:ncRNA from 1 species